GCUUACAAGCUUGUGAACCUGGCUGCUUCCUGGGACUUCUCAUUCGGCAAGAAUUUUCUACCAUGCCAUGCCUGGUUGUUCCCCCUGCUUACUGUGUGAGGAAGCUUCAGUCUUUGUCACCCUCUGGACAAGAACCCAGCCACAGGGAGGAAGCUGGUGACACAAUGAGAAGUGGAGGUGAAAUAUGUGGAGUAUCAAAUCAGUCACUGAAUACUUUUUGCCAAUGGAUAACUCUCAUUAUUGAAA